AUUGAACGCUGGCGGAAUGCUUUACACAUGCAAGUCGAACGGCAGCACGGGAGCUUGCUCCUGGUGGCGAGUGGCGAACGGGUGAGUAAUACAUAGGAACGUAUCCUGUAGUGGGGGAUAACGCAGCGAAAGCUGUGCUAAUACCGCAUACGAUCUACGGAAGAAAGCGGGGGACCUGCAAGGGCCUCGCGCUAUUGGAGCGGCCUAUGUCUGAUUAGCUAGUUGGUGAGGUAAAGGCUCACCAAGGCGACGAUCAGUAGCUGGUCUGAGAGGAUGAUCAGCCACACUGGAACU
rnacentral:rRNA from 1 species